rnacentral:rRNA from 1 species
AUACGGAGGGUCCAAGCGUUAUCCGGAAUCAUUGGGUUUAAAGGGUCCGCAGGCGGUCAAUUAAGUCAGAGGUGAAAGCCCAUCGCUCAACGAUGGAACUGCCUUUGAUACUGGUUGACUUGAGUUAUACGGAAGUAGAUAGAAUAAGUAGUGUAGCGGUGAAGUGCAUAGCUAUUACUUAGAAUACCGAUUGCGAAGGCAGUCUACUACGUAUAUACUGACGCUGAGGGACGAAAGCGUGGGGAGCGAACAGGAUUAGAAACCCUAGUAGUCC